rnacentral:pre_miRNA from 1 species
GCUUCUUCUCUGUCCUGAGUAGGAGUGUUAGCGGGAGAGGAGCUGCUC